CAAAAUGGCCGCCGGCCCGCGGCCCCCGUCUCGCCCCUCCCACCGCCGGCGCUGUGGGUGCGCGGCCCCGAGCGUGGCGGCGGCGCGCAGCGGCGGGAUUGGUAGGGAUGGUAGCGGCUGCGUGCGGGAUGGCUUCCGCGCCGCCUGAGGGCGGAGAGGGCUGGAGCCUGGCAACAGCCUCACAGAAUAUCCUGAGUUUGAAGGGACUCAUAAGGGUCAUCGAGUCCAGAUCCUCGCCUUGCACAAGGUACCCCAACUACACGGUAGGAACCAUGUGAGAGCAUUACCUGAGGGCUUCUUAAACUCAGGUAGGCUUGGUGCUGUGACCACGUCCCUGAGCAGCCUGCUCCAGUGCCCGGCCACCCUCUGGGAGAAAAACCUUUUCCUGAAAUCCAACCUAAAUCUCGCCUCUCUCAGCUUCAUGCCAUUCCUUCAGAUCCUUUUGCUGGUUGCAAGAGUGAAGAGAUCGGCAUCUGCCCCUGCUCUUCGCCUCAUGAGGAUCUCGAAGAACACAGUGAGGUGACCCCUCAGUCUCCUCCAGGCCUAACAAACCAAGUCACCUCUGCUGCUGCUCUUAAGGCUUCACCUUAAGACCUUCCACCAUCCUCGUGGAAGGUGGAUCCUCAUGGGAUAGUUUGGCUUGGAAGGGAACUUAAAGCUACUUUAUUUCCAGUUUCCUGUCAUGGGCAGAUACACCUUCCUCUAGAUCAGGGGCUCCCCCCAGAGCUCAAAGCUCCAUCCAACUACACUAUUAUACACAGAACUUCAGAGUUAAUAAUUUUUCCAGCAAAGCGCCUCCAUUAUGAUUAAUUAAGUAUUUUUCAUACAAGGUGCAUGUGGAAGGACAUCUCAGCUACUCCUCUUCUGCAAGUCAGCAGGUGGUGUGAUCAGAAGGUCUUUCCUUCCUUUUUUUCCAAAGCAAAUAGAGAAGUCCAUAACCCAGAACACACAUCACUAAGAUGAAGUCUUUGCUUUCCACUACUACCAUGCUGGCAUGUAUCAUGAGUGCAAAAUUUAAGUAUAAUUAAUUUAACAAAUUCCUCUGUACCGUAAAGGUGAUCAUUUAUUCAUCUUUUCUGUCUUAAUUCUCCAUUUUCUAGUUGCAUUUACAUUUCCAGCAGUCCUGGCAGCUGCUGUUUUUUUUUUCCUGCCUCAUAAUUUUUUAUUACUUCUGUUUGUUUGUUAUUUUGGUCCCAUCCCUGAUUUUUUUUUUAUUUUUUUAACAUAAAAUCUCUGCUUUCCAUAACAGGAAUAAGCAAACAUAUUUUUCUCCUUGGGUGCGAAGAAAAAAUAAAGCAUAAACCUGCAAAAAAUUAAAAGACAAAUCUCACUGUGUUAAAGCUAAGCAAUGUCACAUCAUAUCAGCUGAAUAUGAAGAACUGGACUUGUUUAAACUUUUAAUUUCCAUUGAAAUAACAACAAAGCUCUGGACUUACAUUUUGUUAUAUUAUAAGCCUCUGA